CAAGAUAGGUUGCCAUUUGAAAAUCGAUAGUCGUUUCACCCCCAAAAACAAGAGUAACAAAAAAUAAUGUAAAUGUUAAAUUUUAGAACAGCUUGUUUCUUAAAUGUUCGUUAAAACGAAUUUCGAAAAAAGUUAAAACUCACCGAGAUAAUGAGUGUCUUGCGAUACAUUGAUCACCCCGUAUAUUAUGUACAGUGCGUUGAACUUGCAGUACAUUUUCCGUCCCUAUGCUUACAAUAAUACCUAUCGCCCAUUAUAUGCCUACACGUUGAAAACGUCUCCCGAGUCGAAUACACUACGUGAAUCG